rnacentral:lncRNA from 1 species
CGUUGUUUGGUCCGCCAUUGUAUUGAUAAUUCGUUGGUGGAUUGUUUGGUGCUCCACCGUAGUUAUUGGGAGGCGCCCCACCAUGGUUACUGGGAGGUCCUCCGCCAUAGUUCUGUUGCGCACCUCCCAUGUUGGGCUGCUGUGGUCCUCCGCCAUAGUUUUGUGGCGCACCUCCCAUGUUGGGCUGCUGCGGUCCUCCUCCCAUGUUGGGAGGCCCUCCGCCAUAGUUUUGUGGCGCACCUCCCAUGUUGGGCUGCUGCGGUCCUCCUCCCAUGUUGGGAGGCCCUCCGCCAUAGUUUUGUGGCGCACCUCCCAUGUUGGGCUGCUGCGGUCCUCCUCCCAUGCGAGGCUGCUGCAUCCCGCCCAUGUUGGGCUGCUG